rnacentral:rRNA from 1 species
UACGUAGGGUGCGAGCGUUGUCCGGAAUUACUGGGCGUAAAGAGCUCGUAGGUGGUUUGUCGCGUUGUUCGUGAAAACUCACAGCUUAACUGUGGGCGUGCGGGCGAUACGGGCAGACUGGAGUACUGCAGGGGAGACUGGAAUUCCUGGUGUAGCGGUGGAAUGCGCAGAUAUCAGGAGGAACACCGGUGGCGAAGGCGGCACUCUGGGCCGGUACUGACGCUGAGGAGCGAAAGCGUGGGGAGCGAACAGG